rnacentral:rRNA from 1 species
AGAGUUUGAUCCUGUGCUCAGGAUGAACGCUAGCGGCAGGCUUAACACAUGCAAGUCGAGGGGCAGCGGGGAGGAAGCUUGCUUUCUCCGCCGGCGACCGGCGCACGGGUGAGUAACACGUAUGCAACCUGCCCCUGUCAGGGGGACAACCCGCCGAAAGGCGGGCUAAACCCGCGUACAUGCCACCGGGGCAUCCCGGAGGCAGGAAAGGCUUCGGCCGGACAGGGAUGGGCAUGCGGCGCAUUAGGCAGUAGGCGGGGUAACGGCCCACCUAACCGACGAUGCGUAGGGGUUCUGAGAGGAAGGUCCCCCACACUGGUACUGAGACACGGACCAGACUCCUACGGGAGGCAGCAGUGAGGAAUAUUGGUCAAUGGUCGGGAGACUGAACCAGCCAAGCCGCGUGAGGGAGGAAGGUACAGAGUAUCGUAAACCUCUUUUGUCAGGGAACAAAGGCGGGGACGUGUCCCCGGAUGAGUGUACCUGAAGAAAAAGCAUCGGCUAACUCCGUGCCAGCAGCCGCGGUAAUACGGAGGAUGCGAGCGUUAUCCGGAUUUAUUGGGUUUAAAGGGUGCGCAGGCGGUCUGUUAAGUCAGCGGUCAAAGCCCGGGGCUCAACCCCGGCCCGCCGUUGAAACUGGCAGUCUCGAGUUGGAGAGAAGUAUGCGGAAUGCGCGGUGUAGCGGUGAAAUGCAUAGAUAUCGCGCAGAACUCCGAUCGCGAAGGCAGCAUGCCGGCUCCACACUGACGCUGAGGCACGAAAGCGUGGGUAUCGAACAGGAUUAGAUACCCUGGUAGUCCACGCAGUAAACGAUGAAUGCUGGCUGUCCGGGGGGAUUGACCCCUGGGUGGCGAAGCGAAAGCGAUAAGCAUUCCACCUGGGGAGUACGCCGGCAACGGUGAAACUCAAAGGAAUUGACGGGGGCCCGCACAAGCGGAGGAACAUGUGGUUUAAUUCGAUGAUACGCGAGGAACCUUACCCGGGCUCAAACGGGGAGUGACUCAGGCAGAGACGCCUGUUUCCCACGGGACACUCCCCGAGGUGCUGCAUGGUUGUCGUCAGCUCGUGCCGUGAGGUGUCGGCUUAAGUGCCAUAACGAGCGCAACCCCCGCGUGCAGUUGCUAACAGAUAACGCUGAGGACUCUGCACGGACUGCCGGCGCAAGCCGCGAGGAAGGCGGGGAUGACGUCAAAUCAGCACGGCCCUUACGUCCGGGGCGACACACGUGUUACAAUGGGUGGUACAGCGGGAAGCCAGGCGGCGACGCCGAGCGGAACCCGAAAUCCACUCUCAGUUCGGAUCGGAGUCUGCAACCCGACUCCGUGAAGCUGGAUUCGCUAGUAAUCGCGCAUCAGCCAUGGCGCGGUGAAUACGUUCCCGGGCCUUGUACUCACCGCCCGUCA